GUAGGUGGCAAGCGUUGUCCGGAAUUAUUGGGCGUAAGCGCGCGCAGGCGGUUCUUUAAGUCUGAUGUGAAAGCCCACGGCUCAACCGUGGAGGGUCAUUGGAAACUGGAGAACUUGAGUACAGAAGAGGAAAGCGGAAUUCCACGUGUAGCGGUGAAAUGCGUAGAGAUGUGGAGGAACACCAGUGGCGAAGGCGGCUUUCUGGUCUGUAACUGACGCUGAGGCGCGAAAGCGUGGGGAGCAAACAGGGAUUAGAUACCCUGGUAGUCCACGCCGUAAACGAUGAGUGCUAAGUGUUAGGGGGUUUCCGCCCCCUUAGUGCUGCAGCUAACGCAUUAAGCACUCCGCCUGGGGAUACGGCCGCAAGGCUG
rnacentral:rRNA from 1 species